GAUGAACGCUGGCGGCGUGCCUAAUACAUGCAAGUCGAGCGAACGGACGAGAAGCUUGCUUCUCUGAUGUUAGCGGCGGACGGGUGAGUAACACGUGGAUAACCUACCUAUAAGACUGGGAUAACUUCGGGAAACCGUAGCUAAUACCGGAUAAUAUUUUGAACCGCAUGGUUCAAAAGUGAAAGACGGUCUUGCUGUCACUUAUAGAUGGAUCCGCGCUGCAUUAGCUAGUUGGUAAGGUAACGGCUUACCAAGGCAACGAUGCAUAGCCGACCUGAGAGGGUGAUCGGCCACACUGGAACUGUGACACGGUCCAGACUCCUACGGGAGGCAGCAGUACGGAAUCUUCCGCAAUGGGCGAAAGCCUGACGGAGCAACGCCGCGUGAGUGAUGAAGGUCUUCGGAUCGUAAAACUCUGUUAUUAGGGAAGAACAUAUGUGUAAGUAACUGUGCACAUCUUGACGGUACCUAAUCAGAAAGCCACGGCUAACUACGUG
rnacentral:rRNA from 1 species